UACGUAGGGUGCGAGCGUUAAUCGGAAUUACUGGGCGUAAAGCGUGCGCAGGCGGUUCGUUAAGUUCGUUGUGAAAGCCCCGGGCUCAACCUGGGAACUGCAAUGGAAACUGGCGGGCUUGAAUGCGGCAGAGGGGGGUGGAAUUCCGCGUGUAGCAGUGAAAUGCGUAGAGAUGCGGAGGAACACCGAUGGCGAAGGCAGCCCCCUGGGCUAGCACUGACGCUCAGGCACGAAAGCGUGGGGAGCAAACAGG
rnacentral:rRNA from 1 species